rnacentral:rRNA from 1 species
AGCAGCCGCGGUAAUUCCAGCUCCAAUAGCGUAUAUUAAAGUUGUUGCAGUUAAAAAGCUCGUAGUUGAAUUUCGGGAUCAAUAUAUCGGUCGUGCCUUUGGUACGUACUGGUAUCAUUGAUUUCUCCUUUCUGACGAAUCAUGAUGUCAUUAAUUUGGUGUUAUGAGGAGUUAGGACUGUUACUUUGAAAAAAUUAGAGUGUUUAAAGCAGGCAUUAGCUUGAAUACAUUAGCAUGGAAUAAUGAAAUAGGACGUUUGACCCUAUUUUGUUGGUUUUUAGGAUCGACGUAAUGAUUAAUAGGGAUAGUUGGGGGCAUUAGUAUUCAAUUGUCAGAGGUGAAAUUCUUGGAUUUAUUGAAGACUAACUACUGCGAAAGCAUUUGCCAAGGAUGUUUUCAUUAAUCAAGAACGAAAGUUAGGGGAUCGAAGACGAUCAGAUACCGUCGUAGUCUUAACCAUAAACUAUGCCGACUAGGGAUCGGAUGAUGUUAAUUUUUUAAUGACUCAUUCGGCGCCUUA